UACAGUGUUUAAAAGGGAUGAUGUGAACUGGGUGUGGUAGCUCAUGUCUGUAAUCCCAGCACUUUGGGAGUUGAGGUAGGAGGAUCACUUGAGGCCAGGAAUUCGAGACCAGCCUGGACAACAUUGCAAGACCUCAUCUCUACAAAAAAUUUUAAAAUUAGCUGGGCUGGUUAUGCAGGCUUGUAGUCUCAGCUACUCAGGAGGCUGGGGUGGGAAGAUUGAGCCCAGGAGUUCAAAGCUGCAGUAAGUUGUGAUCAUACCACUGCACUCCAGCCUGUGUACCAGAACAAGGCCCUGUCUCCAGAAAAAAAAGUGAUGAUGUAGGACAUAAGGUGGAAGAGGAACUAUGAAGGGCCUUAUAUUCCAGGCUAAAAAUGUGCUGACGUCAUAAGCCAAAGCAGGAGAGACCCAGACUCUGUGGACAGGCAGUGUGGACCUAGACUGCCUGGGUUUGAAGCCUCACUCUGCCAAUCACCAGGUGUCCCACCUUUUCCAAGUUACUUAACCUCAUCUCCAAGACAUGCCCAAUCACAAAGCCUACUUCAUAAAAUGGAGGGUUAAUUAAAUUAAUGUUCAUGAAGCCUUUAGUGGGUACGUGGUAAGCUCAAUGAUUAUUAGUUAAUAAUAUCCUUAUUAAACGUCCAGUAAGUCUUUUUUAAAUGUUAUUUUCUUUGAGAAAGGGUCUCACUCUGUCACCCAGGCUGGUUUGCAAUGGCACCAUCAUGGCUUACUGUAGCCUAGACCUCUUGGGCUCAAGCAAUUCUCCCAUCUCAGCCUCCCAAGUUGCUG
rnacentral:lncRNA from 1 species